rnacentral:lncRNA from 1 species
AAUCUCACCCAUUCAGUGACAGUCCUGGAAGAACCUUAUGGAAGCCUCAGGGAACAGAAUUUCCUUGAGAGCCUGAUAGGGCGGCCUAGACAACCUAGUAGCUGCCCAUCUGGGGACUCCUCCUCCUAUCCCAAAGUUGUCUUAGGCCUCCCAGACACACCUCCCAGUAGACCUCAUCAAACCAGGGAGCUGGGCCUCUGUUUGCUGGCCCCCCGCUCUAGAACACUGCCCCAGCCUUCAGGGCAGUUGGAGGCAGGAUGGGAGCCCGGGGGAGGCCAGCCCACGCCAUCUGUCGCAGUGCCCUCCAGAGGCAGCUCAAGUGUGCAGGAUUCCUUUCCUGUCCAGACAGGCCACCACCCAUGGCAACCAGCCGCAGCAGCCUUAUCACCCUCUCUGUUCCCGACAGCGCAGGGGGCUUUGCCCCAGGUCGCUUGGAGUCAGAGCAAGAGAGGCCUAAUCCUCCACUUGGGAAGGUCCAGUGGUUGCCAGGUAACACUGCAGGCAGAGGUUGGGGGGCUGCAGAGGACAAGCAAGGUGGGGCGAUGGAUGAACCCAGAGUCUAAGUACAAACCCGUGAAAGCUCAAGCCCACGGGAGGGACAUUAACAUCACUUCCCGCCCCCCACACACACACUUCGGUGCAAGAGGUCACCGGGUGAUGCAGGCCAGACUCCGCUUCUUCACUGGAAGUGUCUUGCUGCCAAGGACAGUGAGCAGGGAAGCCAGUGGGAUGGAUGACAAAACCCCAGGUUGUUCCCAAGGGGGCGGGGGGCAGCACACUGCUACGGAAGCAGCCCUUUCCACACUGUGGGCACCUCAGCCGGGGUUCUCCUCCCUGGGGGGACGGGCAAGGGGAUCACAGCCUGCCUCUCUGGCCAAGGCGGUGUGGUCCCUGGAAACACACAAAGGAACGCAUGCAAAGGGCAUCCCAUUGAAAAAGGAGGCAGCCCAGGCACCUGGGUGGCUCAGUCGGUUAAGUGCCGGCCUUUGGCUCAGGUCAUGA